rnacentral:rRNA from 1 species
UCGAACGAUGAAGCCCAGCUUGCUGGGCGGAUUAGUGGCGAACGGGUGAGUAAUACGUGAGUAACCUGCCUUUAACUCUGGGAUAAGCCUUGGAAACGGGGUCUAAUACCGGAUACGACCAACCCUCGCAUGGGGUGUUGGUGGAAAGGGAUUUUGUACUGGUUUUAGAUGGGCUCACGGCCUAUCAGCUUGUUGGUGAGGUAACGGCUCACCAAGGCGACGACGGGUAGCCGGCCUGAGAGGGUGACCGGCCACACUGGGACUGAGACACGGCCCAGACUCCUACGGGAGGCAGCAGUGGGGAAUAUUGCACAAUGGGCGCAAGCCUGAUGCAGCGACGCCGCGUGAGGGAUGACGGCCUUCGGGUUGUAAACCUCUUUCAGCAGGGGAGAAGCGAAAGUGACGGUACCUGCAGAAGAAGCGCCGGCUAACUACGUGCCAGCAGCCGCGGUAAUACGUAGGGCGCGAGCGUUGUCCGGAAUUAUUGGGCGUAAAGAGCUUGUAGGCGGUUUGUCGCGUCUGCUGUGAAAGCCCGGGGCUUAACCCCGGGUUUGCAGUGGGUACGGGCAGACUAGAGUGCAGUAGGGGAGACUGGAAUUCCUGGUGUAGCGGUGAAAUGCGCAGAUAUCAGGAGGAACACCAAUGGCGAAGGCAGGUCUCUGGGCUGUAACUGACGCUGAGAAGCGAAAGCAUGGGGAGCAAACAGGAUUAGAUACCCUGGUAGUCCAUGCCGUAAACGUUGGGCACUAGGUGUGGGGAACAUUCCACGUUUUCCGCGCCGUAGCUAACGCAUUAAGUGCCCCGCCUGGGGAGUACGGCCGCAAGGCUAAAACUCAAAAAAAUUGACGGGGGCCCGCACAAGCGGCG